GUCAGAGAUGUGGACGUGUGAGAACAUCGCCGUGAGAGGGUUCACAGCCUAGCAGCUUCUGUGGGCACCAAGAGUCUCUGACAGCAGCAUGCAAAAUUCAGUGUUUCAUCUGGAGGACAGCGGCUGCAGUUGUGUUUGUUUAUUUUUUCCUGAUCAUGAAAAAUUCGAAUUUUUACCAUGAAUCUCUAGCGUGUGGAUACACUCUGGGGUAAAUACAGUUGAGUAAAUGUGUGCUUGUGCAUAAACCGAGCUUUGCUGUGAAAGCGACGACACCUAAGGUUCCCUGGAGCUGGAUGGCUGAGGUUCCAGGAGGAGACCACAGGGCUAGCCUGGACCUCUUCAGCUAGUUGCCCCGCCUUCGGUUCUGGAGAGCUGGAAUUAUAGGCUCUCAUCCUUCUAUCAUAUCUACCGAGUGAGUGCCCUCCCUGAUUGCCUUAAAGGUUUCUUCUGCUUUUGUUGUUGCUCAUUUUGUGAUGCCGGGGAUCAAAGCCAAGGCCAGUCAUUUAUCGGGUAAGCUUUCUGUCAGUGCAGUGUGCCCUGAGCCUGUUUUCUCCUUUAAUUAAUAGUCCAGUCCAGGGCUUGGUCAGGAGCCUGUGCUCUGUGUCUGUGUCACACACUCACUCACUCACUGACUCGGUUGCCAAGUAGAGGAUGACACCCCCGGGGCUUCUUUCCUGCACGGAUGACUUCUCUGUCUGCUGUAUCUCUCUUCUGGAAUGUUCCACUGCACUCUCUGAACCCAAGUAUACUGGCACGUGGCUGUGAUCUCAGUAUCAGGAGGCUGAGGCAUGAGAGUAAUAAAGUUCAGGUCCAGACUGGA